ACGCACGCUGGCGGCGUGCUUAACCCCUGCAAGUCGAACGGAAAGGCCCUGCUUUUGUGGGGUGCUCGAGUGGCGAACGGGUGAGUAACACGUGAGUAACCUGCCCUUGACUUUUGGGUAACUUCAGGAAACUGGGGCUAAUACCGGAUAGGAGCUCCUGCUGCAUGGUGGGGGUUGGAAAGUUUCGGCGGUUGGGGAUGGACUCGCGGCUUAUCAGCUUGUUGGUGGGGUAGUGGCUUACCAAGGCUUUGACGGGUAGCCGGCCUGAGAGGGUGACCGGCCACAUUGGGACUGAGAUACGGCCCAGACUCCUACGGGAGGCAGCAGUGGGGAAUAUUGCACAAUGGGCGGAAGCCUGAUGCAGCAACGCCGCGUGCGGGAUGACGGCCUUCGGGUUGUAAACCGCUUUCGCCUGUGACGAAGCGUGAGUGACGGUAAUGGGUAAAGAAGCACCGGCUAACUACGUG
rnacentral:rRNA from 1 species